rnacentral:lncRNA from 1 species
CGCCGCCGCUGCCAACCCGGAAGGAGCCCGGAGGGGCCCGGGCGGCCAGGGCGCCCCCGCCAGGAGGCCCGCCAGGUGUCCACCUGAGCCCCACGCCCUGCGCCGCGGGGCCCUUUUGGGGGCGGGGUGCCAGCUCCGAGGUGUCCUCCCACGGGCUGUAGACUGGGAAACUGAGGCCCGGGCCACGGUCCCAGACGCAGCCGGGACCCGAACCCACCUCACCUGAGCGAAUGAUAUCCGGGACUCAUCCUUUUUCGACACCUUUGCGGGAUCCAGCCCUCCAAGGAAAGCUUCCUGAGCAGUGCGCGCCACGUGUAUUGGGCACCUCACCGCGGCCACUUCACAUCCUAUCUCAGGUGGAGAAACUAAGCCACAGAAAGGAGCUGUCAUUUACCUAAAGCACCGUGGCAGGGGUUUGGCAGAGCCAGGAUUUGUACCCAGAUCGCCUGACUUCGGAGAGUAACAGCUCUUAACCACAGCACUUCGGUCUAUGCCUUGAUUUCACCAUAUGUAACAAGGGACAAGAGCUUGCCGUGUUGCCCCAGGCUGGUCUCAAACUCCUAGCCUCAAGCAAACUUCCUGUCUCGGCCUUUCAAAACCCUGAGAUUACAAGCAUAAGAAAAGAAAAUCUUGUAAGAUGAAAGCUGAAGGAUGAGAGCAAUUAAUUGAUGAAGUAUGAUGAUCCAGGUGUCCCUGGGUGAAGAAACAACCUCUACAAAGGCCCUGAGGGUCUCGCUCAUCACCAGGCUGGAGUACAGUGACAUGAUCAUGGCUCACUGCAGCCUCAACCUCCCGGGUUCAGGCUAUCCUCCCACCUCAGCCUCCCAGGACCACAGGCGUGUGCCACCAUGCCCAGCUAAUUUUUUGUAGAGAUGGGGUUAUGCCAUGUUGCCCAGGCUGGUCUCGAGCUGCUGGGCACAAGCAAUCUACCCAUCUCAGUCUCCCAAAGUGCUGGCAUUAUAGUCGUGAGCCACUGUGCCCAGCCAACAGCGUCUUUCAAAGAGCAGAGAGAGGUUAAUUUUGAUGAUGUCCAGUUUGCACCUUUGUUGAAAAUUGACCAUAUAUCUGUGAGUCUGUUUCUAGACUCUUUGUUCUGCUUUAUUAAACUACUUGUCUAUUUGUACACCAAUGCCACACUGUCUUCAUUGCUGUGCCUUUGUAAUAAGUUUUAAAGUUAGGUCAUUUAAGUCCUUUAAUUUUGUUCCUCUUUUUCAAAGUUGUUUUGACUAUUCUAAGCUUUUGCAUUUCCAAUACAUUUUGUAAUCAGCUUGUAAAUUUCUACCAAAAAAGCCUGCUGAGACUUUGACUGAAAUUAUGUUGAGUUUGUAGAUUAAUUUGGGAAGAAUUGACAUAUUGACAGUAUCGAGUCUCUCAACCCAUGAACAUGGUAUACCUCUCCAUUUAUUUAGACCUUUAGAGCUUUUUCUCAGAAACAUUUUGUAGCUUUUUUUUUUUUUUUUUGAGACGGAGUCUUGCCCUGUCACCCAGGCUGGAGUGCAGUGGCACGAUUUUGGCUCACUAUAACCUCUGCCUCCCGGGUUCACGCGGUUCUCCUGCCUCAGCCUCCCAGGUUCACGCGGUUCUCCUGCCUCAGCCUCCUGAGUAGCUGGGAUUACAGGCAGGCGCCACCAUGCCCGGCUAAUUUUUGUAUUUUUAGUGGAGACGGGGUUUCACCAUCUUGGCCAGGAUGGUCUCGAUCUCUUGACCUCGUGAUCCGCCCGCCUCAGCCUCCCAAAGUGCUGGGAUUACAGGCAUGAGCCACCACGCCCAGCUUGUUUUGUAGCUUUAAUUGUAUAGGCCUAACAUACUUUUUUGUUCUGUUUAGUCUAUUUCAUAUUUUUAUGCUACCGUAAAUAGUAUUUUUUAAAAUUUCAAUGUCCAGGUGUUUUUUGCUAGUAAUAUAUUUUUUAUGUUGAUCUUGUAUCUUUCAACCUUAUUAUACUCAUUUAUUAGUUCCAGCAGCUUUUUUGCAAAUUCCAUCAGAUUUUUAACUUAGAUGAACAUUUUUUUUUUUGCAAAUAAAGGCAACUUUUCUUCUUUAUAUCAAAUCUGAAUUUUUUUUAUUUCCUUUUCUUGUCUGAUUAUAUGGGCUAGAAUCUCCAAUACAAUGUUGAAUAGAAGUGGUGAGAGUAGACAGACCUGUCUUGUUCAUGAUCUUAGGGGAAAAACAUUAAUGAACCCUAAUGUUCAUUAUAGGGUUUUGUUUGGUAGAUGCCUUUUAUUAGGUAAGAAGAUUCCCUUCUAUUCCUGGCUUGCUUAAUUUUUUUUUUAACAAUCAGGAACGAAUCUUGGAUUUUGCCAAAUGUUUUUUCUGCCUUUAAUGAAAUGAUCUGAUCAUUUUAAUUGUUUAGUCUGUUAAUACAGUGAAUUACACUGAUUGAUUUUCCAGUGUUAAAGCCACUUUGCAGUCCUAGGAGAAAUCCCACUGGUUGUGAUGUACAGUUGUCUUCCCUUAUCCAUGGGGGAUGUGUUCCAAGACCCCUAGUGAAUGCCUGAAACCUCAGAUAGUACCAAACCCUAUAUACACUAUGUUUUUUCCUGUACAGACAUACCUAUGAUAAAGCCUAAUUUAUAAAUUAGGCACAGUAAGAUAUUAACAAUAACUAAUAAUAAAAUAGAACAAUUAUAACAAUAUACUGUAAUAAAAGUUAUAUGAAUGUGGUCUCUCUCUGUUUUCU